CCCGCAAAGCCUCUCAACGAUGAUCAAAUGUGCGGGU
rnacentral:ncRNA from 1 species